AAAGAUUAAGCCAUGCAUGUCUAAGUAUAGCAUUAUACAGCGAAACUGCGAAUGGCUCAUUAUAUAAGUUAUCGUUUAUUUGAUAGUACCUUACUACUUGGAUAACCGUGGUAAUUCUAGAGCUAAUACAUGCUAAAAAUCCCGACUUCGGAAGGGAUGUAUUUAUUAGAUUAAAAACCAAUGCCCUUCGGGGCUCACUGGUGAUUCAUGAUAACUCCUCGAAUCGCAUGGCCUUGUGCCGGCGAUGGUUCAUUCAAAUUUCUUCCCUAUCAACUUUCGAUGUUUGGGUAUUGGCCAAACAUGGUUG
rnacentral:rRNA from 1 species